ACAUACCUAUUAAUCAUUGUAUCAGAUAUAUUGGACAAGACGUUUUGAACCAAAGUCAUUUUGUGUGUUAAAUACACAAAGUUGUAGUAUAAUAAUAUUAUAUAAAAAUGUAUAUAUCAAAGGAUAUGGUUGUUUAUACGGUAACAAAUGUGUUUUAUUUAAUUCUAUUUAUAAGUGAAUUUAAGGUGGCGAAUAUGAGCUAACCUUGUUCGGGGUGCGGCCCGGGCUAUUAUUGUUCAACUGACGGUGUUAGAACAGGAUGCUUAGCUUGCGAAGAUGGCUACUACAAACCUGGUUAUAAUGCAGCCACUUUCUGUAAUCCGUGUUAGACAUUUUGUCCAGGAAAUGCGCUAGUUGAAGAGCGGGAAUUUAUAUCUAAAAACUGUACAAAGGCAGAAGAUAGUGUGUGUAGUUGUAAACACGGGUUUUACCGCGAGUACAACAUGAAUGGUCUCUGUCUUAAAUGGACGGAAUGUGAUGUUGGUUUUGGAGUAAUUAUUCCAGGAAAGAAAAAAUACUACAUGAUUUGUGUCAAUAUUGUCACUAUUUGACACCUUUUUGACGUAUGUAUCUACGCCUGUGAAUGUGUCCGAUAUCCAUUUAACCAUGUGACUUGAGUUCUGGUCUGGAUACACAUAAAUUGAUGAAAAUGACUCCAAAUGUACUUUGUUCACAUGUUAAAGAUGCACUCUAACUCCCAAAAUUGAGUUUCCACUACCAAAAAUGAUGAAUAAAUGCCGAAAACAAUGGUUGAAAUGAAGGAUACCGAAACACGGCAUUUCUACCUUAUGAGACGACAGUAGAUCAUUCUUAAUCUUUUAGCACUCACCAAUCAUGUAAUAGUUUAGCGUUUCAGCUAUUAAUUACACGGUUACAAUCUUGUUAUCUGUAAUUGAUACAUAAAUUCAUUAUUUAGUAAGUAGUUUAAGGUUUGUAAUUCCAGAUUUAUGUUUAGAUUUAUGUUUGUUAUUCAUGUGUAUGUAUUGACUGUGAACAAGAGUGUCACAUUAAGUCUACAAUAAAUUAAACGGCACCGGUAUUUUAGUACUUUUUAAACCCUUUAAAGUUAAAAAGCUAUUUCUGCUUAUCAUUUGCAAUCACGAAUGAAACACGUACAUUUUCCAAUGAAGUGUAAUUAGUCCCAUAUGUUAUUAUAUCAUUAAACGCAAGGUCAAUAAAAGUCUCUUAAAUAUCAUUGACAGCUGUAGUAUUAAGAAAAUGUACAUUCUUCAUGUUAGAUAAAUCACUUAAAUCUCUCACUUCAUAAAAUCGUGCACGGUAUGUAAAUGUCUUGUUUACAAUUAUAAUGGAAGGGUUCUCAAAUUGAUUUUAAGAUAACAUGACGCGCAUAUUGAGUUUCAAAAUGGCUCAUUUGUGAUAUAUUAAUGUGUUAUAUUCAACAGGCACAGAUAUAAAUGAUGUUGUUUGUGAGCAAUGCAAGGAAUGGUUUACCUCCGAUAAGAUAUCAUCGACAGAGCAAUGUCUGAAGAAACAAACAAUUGAUUUUCGUGGAUGGGAGGUAGCUGCUUCGGGAAAAGGUUUUCCAAGUUGGGCAAUAGUUGACAGUAUUAUUGUUAUCAUGGGACUAAUCGUUGCGGUAUCUAUCUGUAGCUUUUGGAAAAGAAAAAGAAACCGAGGACAUUCGAAAGACGACGUUGGAAUAUUUGACAACUAAACAAUUCUGUGCUUAUAGUGUACGUGAUUAUUCUUAAAAUGAACAUAAACACAAGAUCGAAUUACAAGUAGAACAGAGUUGAUAUUAAACUAGUUAAUAGGGGUCAUCGUAUCAUACGAUCACUUUUUCAAAGCAGUAACCAUGUGUUGUCUUAAUAUAUGCGUUUAAACAACAGGUAAGAAUGAUGACGUAAGACAUAGUUAAUUGGAUGGUAAAAAUGAUGAUAUAGGGCAGAAAUGAUUGGAUGGUAAGAAUGAUGAGGUAGGACAGAGAUGAUUGGAUGGUAAGAGACGAUUGGAUGGUAAGAAUGAUGACGUAGGGCAGAGACGAUUGGAUGGUAGGAAUUAUUACGAAGGGCAGAGACGAUUGGGUGGUAAGAAUGAUGACGUAGGGCAGAGACGAUUGGGUGGUAAGAAUGAUGACGUAGGGCAGAGACGAUUGAAUGGGGAGAAUGAUUACGAAGGACAGAGAUUAUUGGAUGGUAAGAAUGAUGACGUAGGGCAGAGACGGUUGGAUGGUAAGAAUGAUGACGUAGGACAGAGACGAUUCGGUGGUAAGAAUGAUGACGUAGGGCAGAGACGAUUGGGUGGUAAGAAUGAUGACGUAGGGCAGAGACGAUUGGGUGGUAAGAACGAUGACGUAGGGCAGAGACGAUUGGGUGGUAAGAAUGAUGACGUAAAGAAGAGACGAUUGGGUGGUAAGAAUGAUGACGUAGGGCAGAGACGAUUGGAUGAUAAGAAUGAUGACGUAAGGCAGAGACGAUUGGAUGAUAAGAAUGAUGACGUAGGGGAGAGACGAUUGGAUGAUAAGAAUGAGGACGUAAGGCAGAGACGAUUGGAUAGUUAGAAUGAUUACGUAGGGGAGAGACGAUUGGAUGAUAAGAAUGAUGACGUUAGGCAGAGACGAUUGGAUGAUAAAAAUGAUGACGUAGGGGAGAGACGAUUGGAUGAUAAGAAUGAUGACGUAAAACAGAGACGAUUGGGUGGUAAGAAUGAUGACGUAGGGGAGAGACGAUUGGAUGAUAAAAAUGAUGACGUAAGGCAGAGACGAUUGGAUGGCAAGAAUGAUUACGUAGGACAGAGAUGAUUGGAUGGUUAGAAUGAUUACGUCGGACAGAGAUGAUUGGAUGGUUAGAAUGAUGACGUAGGACAGGGACGAUUGGAUAAUAAGAAUUAUGACGUAGAACAGAGAUGAUUGGAUGGUAAGAAUGGUGACGUAGGACAGAGACGAGGAUGGUAAAAAUUAUGACGUAGAGCAGAGAUAAUUGGGUAGUAAGAAUGAUGACGUAGGCAGAGAUGAUUGGAUGAUACGAAUCAUGACGUAGGACAGGGGUGUUUGAAUGGUUAGAAUUAUGAUGUAGGACAGAGAUGAUCGGAAUGUGCAAGUAACUUAUUAAUUAUAUAAUGCAAUUAUAUCAAACCGAGAGUCUUGAUCUUGCGAUAAUUGGUCGUAUGUUCGUUGAUAAGAUAGUCCCAUAGUUGUUGGUAUAUAUGCAUGUGUAUUAGUCACUACAUAAAUUCAUAUUGUUUAUAUAAUUUGUUAAAAUAUACACUCAUUGUUUUUGUUUCCGUCACCCUGGCAUUGUAUUAUUGAAUGAUCCCCGUAUAAUAUAAUAGUUCUUUAAUAAUUGUUUAAAGCAUUUACACGUAGUCUAAUAGUUCGUGUCUUUCUCUCUCUAUUUUUCAUGAGAUAGUAGACUGCAACUAAUGAUUGAUAUAUUAAAUAACAAUAUAAAGACAUGUCAAUAAAAUUA